rnacentral:miRNA from 1 species
ACAUUUGCCAUGGCCAAACUGACCCUCCAGCUGUUUUUCGAACUACAACUCCCAUCAUCCCUAGCUAACAGGACCAGUGGUCAGGGAUGAUGGGAACUGUAGUCCCAAAAACAGCUGGAGUGCCAAGUUUGGCCAUGCCUUGUUU